UACGUAGGGCGCAAGCGUUGUCCGGAAUUAUUGGGCGUAAAGAGCUCGUAGGUGGUCUGUUGCGUCCGCUGUGAAAACCCAGGGCUUAACCCCGGGCGUGCAGUGGAUACGGGCAGGCUGGAGGCAGGCAGGGGAGAAUGGAAUUCCCGGUGUAGCGGUGAAAUGCGCAGAUAUCGGGAGGAACACCGGUGGCGAAGGCGGUUCUCUGGGCCUGUUCUGACGCUGAGGAGCGAAAGCGUGGGGAGCGAACAGG
rnacentral:rRNA from 1 species